AGCGAACGCUGGCGGCAGGCCUAACACAUGCAAGUCGAACGAAGUCUUCGGACUUAGUGGCGGACGGGUGAGUAACACGUGGGAACGUGCCUUUAGGUUCGGAAUAACUCAGGGAAACUUGUGCUAAUACCGAAUGUGCCCUUCGGGGGAAAGAUUUAUCGCCUUUAAAGCGGCCCUCGUCUGAUUAGCUAGUUGGUGAGGUAAAGGCUCACCAAGGCGACGAUCAGUAGCUGGUCUGAGAGGAUGAUCAGCCAUAUUGGGACUGAGACACGGCCCAAACUCCUACGGGAGGCAGCAGUGGGGAAUCUUGCGCAAUGGGCGAAAGCCUGACGCAGCCAUGCCGCGUGAAUGAUGAAGGUCUUAGGAUUGUAAAAUUCUUUCACCGGGGACGAUAAUGACGGUACCCGGAGAAGAAGCCCCGGCUAACUUCGUGCCAGCCGCCGCAGUAAAAC
rnacentral:rRNA from 1 species